AACGAACGCUGGCGGCAGGCUUAACACAUGCAAGUCGAGCGCCCCGCAAGGGGAGCGGCAGACGGGUGAGUAACGCGUGGGAAUCUACCCAUCUCUACGGAAUAACGCAUGGAAACGUGUGCUAAUACCGUAUACGUCCCUCGGGAGAAAGAUUUAUCGGAGAUGGAUGAGCCUGCGUUGGAUUAGCUAGUUGGUGGGGUAAAGGCCUACCAAGGCGACGAUCCAUAGCUGGUCUGAGAGGAUGAUCAACCAGACUGGGACUGAGACACGGCCCAGACUCCUACGGGAGGCAGCAGUGGGGAAUAUUGGACAAUGGGCGCAAGCCUGAUCCAGCCAUGCCGCGUGAGUGAUGAAGGCCCUAGGGUUGUAAAGCUCUUUCACCGGUGAAGAUAAUGACGGUAACCGGAGAAGAAGCCCCGGCUAACUUCGUGCCAGCCGCCGCGGUAAGAC
rnacentral:rRNA from 1 species